GAUGAACGCUGGCGGCGUGCCUAAUACAUGCAAGUCGAGCGAACAGACGAGGAGCUUGCUCCUCUGACGUUAGCGGCGGACGGGUGAGUAACACGUGGAUAACCUACCUAUAAGACUGGGAUAACUUCGGGAAACCGGAGCUAAUACCGGAUAACAUGUUGAACCGCAUGGUUCAACAGUGAAAGACGGUUUUGCUGUCACUUAUAGAUGGAUCCGCGUCGCAUUAGCUAGUUGGUAAGGUAACGGCUUACCAAGGCAACGAUGCGUAGCCGACCUGAGAGGGUGAUCGGCCACACUGGAACUGAGACACGGUCCAGACUCCUACGGGAGGCAGCAGUAGGGAAUCUUCCGCAAUGGGCGAAAGCCUGACGGAGCAACGACGCGUGAGUGAAGAAGGUCUUCGGAUCGUAAAACUCUGUUAUUAGGGAAGAACAAAUGUGUAAGUAACUAUGCACGUCUUGACGGUAGCUAAUCAGAAAGCCACGGCUAACUACGUG
rnacentral:rRNA from 1 species